GACGAACGCUGGCGGCGUGCUUAACACAUGCAAGUCGAACGGUGAAGGGAGCUUGCUCCCGGAUCAGUGGCGAACGGGUGAGUAACACGUGAGCAACCUACCCUUGACUCUGGGAUAACAGCUGGAAACAGCUGCUAAUACCGGAUACGACCUGGAAGGGCAUCCUCCCAGGUGGAAAGCUCCGACGGUCAAGGAUGGGCUCGCGGCCUAUCAGCUUGUUGGGGGGGUAACGGCCCACCAAGGCGACGACGGGUAGCCGGCCUGAGAGGGCGACCAGCCACACUGGGACUGAGCCCCGGCCCAGACUCCUGCGGGAGGCAGCAGUGGGGAAUAUUGCACAAUGGGCGAAGGCCUGAUGCAGCGACGCCGCGUGGGGGAUGACGGCCUUCGGGUUGUAAAUCCCUUUCAGUCGGGACGAAGCGAGAGUGACGGUACCGAUAGAAGAAGCACCGGCCAACUACGUGCCAGCCGCCGCGGUAAUAC
rnacentral:rRNA from 1 species